rnacentral:rRNA from 1 species
AGUGAACGCUGGCGGUAGGCCUAACACAUGCAAGUCGAACGGCAGCACAGAGGAGCUUGCUCCUUGGGUGGCGAGUGGCGGACGGGUGAGGAAUACAUCGGAAUCUACUCUGUCGUGGGGGAUAACGUAGGGAAACUUACGCUAAUACCGCAUACGACCUACGGGUGAAAGCAGGGGAUCUUCGGACCUUGCGCGAUUGAAUGAGCCGAUGUCGGAUUAGCUAGUUGGCGGGGUAAAGGCCCACCAAGGCGACGAUCCGUAGCUGGUCUGAGAGGAUGAUCAGCCACACUCGAACUGAGACACGGUCCAGACUCCUACGGGAGGCAGCAGUGGGGAAUAUUGGACAAUGGGCGCAAGCCUGAUCCAGCCAUACCGCGUGGGUGAAGAAGGCCUUCGGGUUGUAAAGCCCUUUUGUUGGGAAAGAAAUCCAGCUGGUUAAUACCCGGUUGGGAUGACGGUACCCAAGGAAUAAGCACCGGCUAACUUCGUGCCAGCCGCCGCGGUAA